CCUACGUGCGGCAGCAGUGGGGAAUAUUGGACAAUGGGCGAAAGCCUGAUCCAGCCAUGCCGCGUGUGUGAAGAAGGCCUUCGGGUUGUAAAGCACUUUCAGUGGGGAAGAAAGCCUUGGGGCUAAUACCCUCGAGGAAGGACAUCACCCACAGAAGAAGCACCGGCUAACUCCGUGCCAGCAGCCGCGGUAAUACGGAGGGUGCGAGCGUUAAUCGGAAUUACUGGGCGUAAAGCGCGCGUAGGCGGUCUGAUAAGCCGGUUGUGAAAGCCCCGGGCUCAACCUGGGAACGGCAUCCGGAACUGUCAGGCUAGAGUGCAGGAGAGGAAGGUAGAAUUCCCGGUGUAGCGGUGAAAUGCGUAGAGAUCGGGAGGAAUACCAGUGGCGAAGGCGGCCUUCUGGACUGACACUGACGCUGAGGUGCGAAAGCGUGGGUAGCAAACAGGAUUAGAUACCCCAGUCGUC
rnacentral:rRNA from 1 species